AGUCGAACGUGAAAGCACUUCGGUGUGAGUAGAGUGGCGGACGGGUGAGUAACGCGUGGGAAUCUGCCCAGUAGUGGGGGACAACUACCGGAAACGGUAGCUAAUACCGCAUACGCCCUAUGGGGGAAAGGCUUCGGCCGCUAUUGGAUGAGCCCGCGUCAGAUUAGCUAGUUGGUAGGGUAAAGGCCUACCAAGGCAACGAUCUGUAGCUGGUCUGAGAGGACGAACAGCCACACUGGGACUGAGACACGGCCCAGACUCCUACGGGAGGCAGCAGUGGGGAAUAUUGGACAAUGGGCGAAAGCCUGAUCCAGCAAUGCCGCGUGUGUGAAGAAGGCCUGCGGGUUGUAAAGCACUUUCAGUUGGGAAGAUGAUGACGUUACCAACAGAAGAAGCACCGGCUAAAUCCGUGCCAGCAGCCGCGGUAAUACGGAUGGUGCGAGCGUUAAUCGGAAUUACUGGGCGUAAAGCGCGCGUAGGCGGCUAAGUCAGUCAGAAGUGAAAGCCCCGGGCUCAACCUGGGAAUUGCUUUUGAUACUGCUUAGCUAGAGUUUGGUAGAGGAUAGUGGAAUUUCAGGUGUAGCGGUGAAAUGCGUAGAUAUCUGAAGGAACAUCAGUGGCGAAGGCGACUGUCUGGACCAAAACUGACGCUGAGGUGCGAAAGCGUGGGUAGCAAACAGGAUUAGAUACCCUG
rnacentral:rRNA from 1 species